GACUGAGAGGGACCAGACAUCAAUCCAUGCUCUCCAAAUCUUUCUGAACAAGUCUCUCAUAUUUCAAACUUGUGUAGGGCAUCUGCAGAUGGAAAUAUGUGUAACAGAAGGUCAGCACUUACUGGCUGCAUCUUUCUCUUACAACUGCAGUGCCAAGAGGAACCAAUGAAGACUGAAGCCCUAUUGUACGAGGCACUAUGCAACAUAAGAAGAGACAGCCCCCACUUUGAAAAACUUACCAUCUUGUAACCUUCAUCCAUCCAACUGGAAGUAGGUUCAUUAACCAUCUACACAGAUGCAUCUCCCCCCCUCCUCAGCUAAGCCAACUUCAGCAAACAUUCUUCAGUAAAGUUAAGAAUGGAAACUAAGUUUAAUGAUCGCAUAAUCAAGGAGACAGAUUGGACAUCUCAGAUGUGCAUAGUCAGCAUUUAUAUUCUGCUCUGAAUAAUUUAAUUUGAGAAGUGGACACGGCCCAAUGUAAUAUAUUUACAAUGGGGUAAAGCUGCUUUAAUGCACACCUAUAAAUAAUCCUUUUCAUAGUUUUUGUUUGUUUGUUUUUUGCUGCCCUUAGGUGAACUAGCAGAAAAAGUGAAAUGAGAAUUCUUUAAAGUAAAAUCUCUAACGCUCACCAGCAUGUUUUUUCAGUAGUGAGCUGCAGAUGCAACUAAUAUUUAACUGGCUAGCUCCCAAAAGAUGUGGCCAGUUCACUGCAUUAAUCAAAAGCUAUCCUUUGCUUCCUGACAUGUAUAUUUAGAGUGUGCUAUGCUGCUGCAUGAAGUCCUGAUUCUCAUCUACCCAGCAAAAGUGAUCUUCUGCAUACAGGGGUCAAGUCACAUCUGACAACCACUUUGCGAUAAAUGAAUGUUUCCUAUAAUCUGGCUUUUAGAAAAUGUUUCCCCCCCACCAUAAAUGUAGGUUAAAGAAGACUAUUUAAAGUUUGUUUAAAUCUCUUCAAGGUCAUUAGAAAAGCCUGAGUCAACAUGACUGCUCCCUAGUAGUUCUCUCUUCUACUUGAAUGUGUUCUCCAAAGAUUGUAGAGCAUAACACACAUUAGAAAAGUGCCUUCAAAAGCAAAAGUCCAAGCAAAACCAGAGUUGUGCACUAUAAACCAUACUUUGUGUGUGUCUCUACUGAAAGUAGGGGGGGUGUCAAUCUACAUUUUCAAUAGGGAAAAUCUCUAGCGUAUCAUUUUAACUAACAUCUUUGGGCAUGUGCAUAUGGGUAUAUCUUAUGAGGAGAACAAGUGGGCAGAGGCAAGGAGGAGAAGAAAGGCUAGCACUGACGGCAACUAUUUCUUUUUUUGAACAGGACCAGUCCUAUUCAACAUAUUCAUAAAUAGUCUGGAAAAAGGGGUAAACUGU